UGCCAUGACCUUUUUGGAUUUCUUUUCUCC
rnacentral:piRNA from 1 species